rnacentral:lncRNA from 1 species
AAGGCUCUUUCUUCCCUUUUUAUUGUCUUUGAGACUUGUGGGUGGUGAAUUCACAUCACUAGAUCAGAUCAGAUCAGGUAGUCAAUCUGAAGAAAGAAUUGGUCUAAAUUUCACUACACUAUAGUACUGGUCACUACACUACACUACAUGGUCACUACUAUAAUUUGGAGUACUACCAUAAUCUACUCAUGUCCUUUUACAAUAAUCUACUCAUGUCCUUUUUGAAUUCCUUAAGUUAACUAAAUGUUAAAUUUUUGUUAGGACAUCGCCAUGGAUAUGGCAGAUCUCAACUUGACCCCUCCACAAGAGGAGGAUGGAGUACAUGAAAAUCAAGAGGAGGAUCGACUCGUCGUCAUGGAUAUGGCAGAUCUCAACUUGACUCCUCCACAAGAGGAGGAUGGAG